GGUUGGUGAGAUUUUUGACUCUCCCGUUAGUGCGCUGCACUGUCAUUUCCACUGCCAUUAGGGAAUUCCCUGUUCUGGGAGCCAACAUACUCUGGCUCUGUCAUUGAGUGUGAUCCACAAGGAACUGUAAAGGAUCACCCCGAGUCCCCCUCUGACCUGCUGCUGGGCAUGGCAGAGAUUUACCACAGGCGUGGCCCCUGAACUGUUCCACAUCUGAAAGAAGAUUUCAGCAAAGGGAGAGUUCUUCCCCGAAGAAUUUAGUUCCUGAAUUUGCUGAUGCUCAAGGGAGUGUGCCCAAGUGGAACUGACUGUGACAAUUCUUCUCCUAUCCCAUGAAAGCAGGUCAGUGUAAUCUCACCCGCAUCUGAACCUAGGCCUUCAUAAGGAUGGAAGCCAACACUUAGGAAGUGUGUGUUUAUAUAAUUCAUUUCUUCACCGUGUUAACAUUGUUUCACAUUCCUUGUCUUAAAAGGUUGCCUUUAAGAACUGGACAUUUGUCAGUAAAAGAAUGUCAAUUUCUUUAGUUA